CUAAAUCAAACGGUUAAGCAAAUUGUAUUCACGACUUAUACAACGAUAAUUGAAAGUAAUCAACUUAUUUCACAUAUAUAAUCAUGGUUUUGAAUCCACCCUUAGCCAAAACAAAUUUAGCCAAUCAUACUUAAAGCAAAACAAAGAUUAUAUGAAUUAGACAUUGAAAUAUAAGAUAGAAAACACCUAAAAUCGUUCAACAACUCAGAAUGAAGAGCCAAACAAUCGUAGUGAAUCUGUCCCCUUCCUUGCUUGCGGCAGAUUGGGUUGUGAAGAUGUUUUGGGUAGUUUUAUGGUGUAGAAUGGAUGGGGAAUGGUAUGGAGAGGUUUAGGGUGAGUAUGGAGGAGUGUUUGAUGGUUGAAGGAUGGUAGAGAACUCGGCAAAGAGGGUGGAA
rnacentral:lncRNA from 1 species